rnacentral:rRNA from 1 species
AUGGCGCUGCGUACCCUGGCGGCGAGGGCGCGGACUUCCGCCGCCGCGCUCCGCCCACAGAUGCCGUCCCUCGGCCUCUCCCCUCUGCCCGGCGGCCGCCCCAACUUCCACUCCGCCGCCGCCCCCCGCCGCCACCCGUCGGCCGGCGGCCGUCCCUCCCUCAUCAGGAACCUGCGCACAAGAAUUAACUUGGAAUCAGCUAGCAAAGAGGAGCUCGAACGUGAGGCAACCUUCUUAAGGGAACAGAUCAAUGAGUUUGUGGACCGUAUUCACAAGGAGAAGGAGAGGUCUGAUCUAAUUAAGAAGGAUCUUUGGGCUUCUCUGAAGCGUAUGGCCUGUUGUGCUGCUGUGGUGAAAGUCAUAACGCUUUUCAUUCCUUAUAAACUAGCGGAAGAAGAUGAGAUGAUGGAUAUGAACUAG